rnacentral:rRNA from 1 species
GACGAACGCUGGCGGCGUGCUUAACACAUGCAAGUCGAACGAAGUCGCGAACGGGUGAUUAACGCGUAAUCAACCUGCCCUUCAGUGGGUGACCACAGUUGGAAACGACUGCUAAUACCGCCUACUGAAGGUGGGGAUUGCGUCUGAUUAGCUAGUUGGAGGGGUAACGGCCCACCAAGGCGAUGAUAAGUAGCCGGUCUGGGAGGAUGAACGGCCACAUUGGGACUGGGACACGGCACAGGCUCCUACGGGAGGCAGGAGUGGGGAAUCUUCCGGAAUGGACGCAAGUGUGACGGAGCAACGCCGGGUGAAGGAAGACUGUCUUCGGAUUGAAAACUUCUUUAGACAGGGACGCGGUACCUGUAGAAUAAGCCACGGCUAACUACGUGCCAGCAGCCGCGGUAAUAC